UACGGAGGGUGCAAGCGUUGCUCGGAAUUAUUGGGCGUAAAGGGCAGGUAGGUGGUCUCAUUUGUCUGGGGUGAAAGCCUUGAGCUUAACUCAAGAAGUGCCCCAGAAACGGUGAGACUGGAGUCCUGGAGAGGGUCGUGGAAUUCCUGGUGUAGCGGUGAAAUGCGCAGAUAUCAGGAGGAACACCGAUGGCGAAGGCAGGUCUCUGGGCUGUAACUGACGCUGAGGAGCGAAAGCAUGGGGAGCGAACAGG
rnacentral:rRNA from 1 species